GAGUUUGAUCCUGGCUCANNAUUAACGCUGGCGGCGUGCUUAACACAUGCAAGUCGAGCGAGAAGACUUUGACAGAUCCUUCGGGUGAUGGAAGAGUUGGAAAGCGGCGGACGGGUGAGUAACGCGUGGGCAACCUGCCCCAUACAGGAGGAUAGCCACUGGAAACGGUGAUUAAUACUCCAUAAGACCACAGUAUCACAUGAUACAGAGGUAAAAACUCCGGUGGUAUGGGAUGGGCCCGCGUCUGAUUAGCUAGUUGGUAAGGUAACGGCUUACCAAGGCGACGAUCAGUAGCCGACCUGAGAGGGUGAUCGGCCACACUGGAACUGAGACACGGUCCAGACUCCUACGGGAGGCAGCAGUGGGGAAUAUUGCACAAUGGGCGAAAGCCUGAUGCAGCAACGCCGCGUGAACGAUGAAGGCCUUCGGGUUGUAAAGUUCUUUUCUUGGAGAAGAAUAAAUGACGGUAUCCAAGGAAUAAGCCCCGGCUAACUACGUGCCAGCAGCCGCGGUAAUACGUAGGGGGCAAGCGUUAUCCGGAAUCACUGGGCGUAAAGGGAGUGUAGGCGGUCAAGCAAGUCAGAGGUGAAAGGCAUCGGCUCAACCGGUGUAAGCCUUUGAAACUGUUUGACUUGAGUGCAGGAGAGGUAAGUGGAAUUCCUAGUGUAGCGGUGAAAUGCGUAGAUAUUAGGAGGAACACCAGUGGCGAAGGCGACUUACUGGACUGUAACUGACGCUGAGGCUCGAAAGCGUGGGGAGCGAACAGGAUUAGAUACCCUGGUAGUCCACGCCGUAAACGAUAAAUACUAGGUGUCUGGGGUCGAACCUAGGUGCCGCAGCUAACGCAUUAAGUAUUCCGCCUGGGGAGUACGCACGCAAGUGUGAAAACUCAAAGGAAUUGACGGGGACCCGCACAAGCAGCGGAACAUGUGGGUUUAAUUNCGAAGCAACNCGAAAAAACC
rnacentral:rRNA from 1 species